AAGUCGUAACAAGGUCUCCGUAGGUGAACCUGCGGAGGGAUCAUUAACAAACACGGCGGCGCGCUUCGGCGCGCGGCGCAACCAUGUGCAACCGCGUGGGUAGCGUGCGACGGGGAGUCAGAGGCGGCCGGGCCGCCUUCUCCCCGCAGCAGCCAGCACACACAUACAUACACACAUCAUGUCUUGAACGAUGAAAGCAACGAAAUCAACUUUUAACAACGGAUCUCUUGGUUCUG
rnacentral:misc_RNA from 1 species